UACGGAGGGGGCUAGCGUUGUUCGGAAUUACUGGGCGUAAAGCGCACGUAGGCGGCUUUGCAAGUUAGAGGUGAAAGCCCGGGGCUCAACUCCGGAAUUGCCUUUAAAACUGCAUCGCUAGAAUUGUGGAGAGGUAAGUGGAAUUCCGAGUGUAGAGGUGAAAUUCGUAGAUAUUCGGAAGAACACCAGUGGCGAAGGCGGGUCUCUGGGCCGUUACUGACGCUGAGGAGCGAAAGCGUGGGGAGCGAACAGG
rnacentral:rRNA from 1 species